rnacentral:rRNA from 1 species
GAUGAACGCUAGCGGCAGGCCUAACACAUGCAAGUCGAGGGGUAGAGGCUUUCGGGCCUUGAGACCGGCGCACGGGUGCGUAACGCGUAUGCAAUCUGCCUUACACUAAGGGAUAGCCCAGAGAAAUUUGGAUUAAUACCUUAUAGUAUGUAGGAGGGACAUCCCUUUGACAUUAAAGAUUUAUCGGUGUAAGAUGAGCA